UGGCGGCAAUAGCGCGGUGGUCCCACCUGACCCCAUGCCGAACUCAGCAGUGAAACGCCGUAGCGCCGAUGGUAGUGUGGGGUCUC
rnacentral:rRNA from 1 species